rnacentral:lncRNA from 1 species
AGCUGCCAACAUUGAGAAGAAUGUCAUAGAGGUUGCUGAAAUGGUGUGGACUGCCAUGAUGUGGCCACCACCAUCUUCAUCGCCAAUAAAGAAGAAUUGGAAGCUUUACAAGUUGAGAAUCGACGAAUGAGAAAAUUACAUAAGUAGAGACAAGCUCCUUGAAAGCCUAUCUGAAUUCUUAACCCUCUUCCUUGUUAAGAGAUUGCCUCCCGAUGUAAUUUCAAUUUGAGUCCAUUUUCUAUUUAGUUCAACACAUUUGAUUAUUGGGUUCUAUAUUAUAUAAUUUAUGUUUGAACUUUAGAUUUUGAGGGAACUAAUAUUAAUAUUGUCCAUGAUAUACCUAGUUGGUGGGUUUUGAAUAUAAUCUAUGUUUGAAAAAUUAACAGGUGCUUAAUGGACGUGACAUUUUUAAUAGGUUGAGUACUUGUUUGAAAUGUUUAAAAAUGUUAAGACCAAU